AAAUUGAAGAGUUUGAUCAUGGCUCAGAUUGAACGCUGGCGGCAGGCCUAACACAUGCAAGUCGAGCGGUAGCACAGAGAGCUUGCUCUCGGGUGACGAGCGGCGGACGGGUGAGUAAUGUCUGGGAAACUGCCUGAUGGAGGGGGAUAACUACUGGAAACGGUAGCUAAUACCGCAUAAUGUCGCAAGACCAAAGUGGGGGACCUUCGGGCCUCAUGCCAUCAGAUGUGCCCAGAUGGGAUUAGCUAGUAGGUGGGGUAACGGCUCACCUAGGCGACGAUCCCUAGCUGGUCUGAGAGGAUGACCAGCCACACUGGAACUGAGACACGGUCCAGACUCCUACGGGAGGCAGCAGUGGGGAAUAUUGCACAAUGGGCGCAAGCCUGAUGCAGCCAUGCCGCGUGUGUGAAGAAGGCCUUCGGGUUGUAAAGCACUUUCAGCGGGGAGGAAGGCGAUAAGGUUAAUAACCUUGUCGAUUGACGUUACCCGCAGAAGAAGCACCGGCUAACUCCGUGCCAGCAGCCGCGGUAAUACGGAGGGUGCAAGCGUUAAUCGGAAUUACUGGGCGUAAAGCGCACGCAGGCGGUCUGUCAAGUCGGAUGUGAAAUCCCCGGGCUCAACCUGGGAACUGCAUUCGAAACUGGCAGGCUAGAGUCUUGUAGAGGGGGGUAGAAUUCCAGGUGUAGCGGUGAAAUGCGUAGAGAUCUGGAGGAAUACCGGUGGCGAAGGCGGCCCCCUGGACAAAGACUGACGCUCAGGUGCGAAAGCGUGGGGAGCAAACAGGAUUAGAUACCCUGGUAGUCCACGCCGUAAACGAUGUCGAUUUGGAGGUUGUGCCCUUGAGGCGUGGCUUCCGGAGCUAACGCGUUAAAUCGACCGCCUGGGGAGUACGGCCGCAAGGUUAAAACUCAAAUGAAUUGACGGGGGCCCGCACAAGCGGUGGAGCAUGUGGUUUAAUUCGAUGCAACGCGAAGAACCUUACCUGGUCUUGACAUCCACAGAACUUUCCAGAGAUGGAUUGGUGCCUUCGGGAACUGUGAGACAGGUGCUGCAUGGCUGUCGUCAGCUCGUGUUGUGAAAUGUUGGGUUAAGUCCCGCAACGAGCGCAACCCUUAUCCUUUGUUGCCAGCGGUUAGGCCGGGAACUCAAAGGAGACUGCCAGUGAUAAACUGGAGGAAGGUGGGGAUGACGUCAAGUCAUCAUGGCCCUUACGACCAGGGCUACACACGUGCUACAAUGGCGCAUACAAAGAGAAGCGACCUCGCGAGAGCAAGCGGACCUCAUAAAGUGCGUCGUAGUCCGGAUUGGAGUCUGCAACUCGACUCCAUGAAGUCGGAAUCGCUAGUAAUCGUGGAUCAGAAUGCCACGGUGAAUACGUUCCCGGGCCUUGUACACACCGCCCGUCACACCAUGGGAGUGGGUUGCAAAAGAAGUAGGUAGCUUAACCUUCGGGAGGGCGCUUACCACUUUGUGAUUCAUGACUGGGGUGAAGUCGUAACAAGGUAACCGUAGGGGAACCUGCGGUUGGAUCACCUCCUUA
rnacentral:rRNA from 1 species